rnacentral:lncRNA from 1 species
GAGAUAAAUACAAGCCCGAUAAUAACUCACUGCAGACUUGGCUUCAUUCCUAGAUUUCCUUGGCUGUUUGUCCUAAUAAAGUGUCUCCAUGGCACUUAGGGCAGGAAGGUUAUUAGUAGCUGUCAAUCAAAGGCAGGAGUAUGUGUUGGAGGGAGCAGGAAGAGAAGAGAGGUGACAUUCAUCCUCUCCUCUCCCUUAUAUAUUGGGUGUAGAAGUCAUUCAGAGCAAGUGGUUAAAAAGGGAGAGGUCCUGCUUCAUCCCCACGGAAAAAAAAGAGAGAGGAAACUGCCUUGUGCCAGGACUAUGAAGGACGUAGGCAGAGAAACACAUCUGCAGUGCUAUCCGGGCACCUGAGGGAGAAGAGUAGGAACACAAAGCCAAAGUAACUUGGUUUCCAAUUCAAAUGAUCCUUGCAACCCAAAGUGACUCUUGGACUGGCGAAAGAGAGAAGACGAUAUAUGCUGGAGGAACAGAAGACUGGCCUAACAUCAUGGCAUUGCAAGGGAUAGUAGCUGUAAAAGUGGCAAGCUGAUCCUACCUCACCCCUCAUGUUUCAGAUAAGAUGCCAAAUAUGGCUGAUCCCUCAUUUUCCCUCCAGUUAAUUCUUCUUUCCUUCUUUUUUUUUGCCAUCUUGAAUAAACUAUUAAUUUAUUAGUGGAUGUUACA